GUGGCAUGGUAUUGACAAAAAAAUCUCCACGAAGCUACAUUGUUUUGUUUUGAUUUACAAGUUAAAGUAUAGGAGUGAGUGAUGAGUGGGUCUGAUAAGAAACCAAAGAUCCCAGAGGCUCCAGCACCGGUUGCGCUACCUGGGAAUUUGCUGUCGAGUGUGGCCCCGCCGACACAACUUCCAAACUUCGUCACCACCAGUGAAGCAGCUCCAAAUGUACCAACUGGCCCUGUUCCCGUUCAGCUGGUCAUUGUUCAACAAGCAGCUCCAAUGCCAGAAAUCGAAGAGACAUUUAGCCCAGCAAUACCAUUCAGCAAAGGGGAGCCACUCAUGUCGAUAAGGUCUCCGGAAGACUCCCAAACUACACACUCACCAGAAUCUCUGCCAGCCUCUACACCUGAGAUGGAUCAAAUUGGCGACAUAAUGCCCGGCAGUGGCAUAUUUACAUGGGUGAAGGGUGCGGUUUCCAGCGGAGGGCUUCUCCACCGAGUGGCAGAGAAGGCCAAGAGUUCCGUAGACUCCAUGAUCACCACCCUCGACCCGCAGAUGAAAGAGUAUUUGAAAAGCGGUGGUGACAUGUACAUAGUGGUAGCCUCCGACAAAGAUGUCAAGGUGUCCCCGAUAAGAGAAGCAUUCCAGACUGUAUUUGGGAAAGCCACAGUUGUCGGCUUUCCAGCCCAAAGCGACGUGACAGCGGAGCAACCCGUCGGAUAUGCGGCUGCGUACGCGGCGGCCAAACAGAGAAUCGCACAUAUCCGAUCAACACAUUCACAACUCACCAACAAUGUUCCUGUUGUAGCUGUUGAGGGGUUCCUACAGGAAGCUAUAAGCGACAAAUGGUACGACUUAUCCCUUCUAGUCUUAUCACAACCGUCUCUGGGAAUCGAACUGCAACUCCAGAGUCAAGGCACGCCCGUGCCCGCCGCCGCGAUCUCCGCCAUUACCGCCGCCACGCCGGAGCACUACCAACACUCGCAAACCGGAUUCAGCGUCACCGUUGGAUCUGUCAUGGCCGCUAGUUUGCAGGUCCCACACGCGCAAUGGCAAGAAGCGGCCACCGGUGUGUCGCGGAGAGAUACUUUAUUGUUAGCGGCGCGUUCUCUCGCCGGUUCCUACAAGAAAUUAUUAGCAGUUUCCGCCGCUGAGACCUAGUGAGCGGUGGGAGAUCUACUUGAGUUGCAAUAAGAUAACCGGCAGCGGUAUAAGCUGGAAUCUAUUACGUCGCGAUAAGUUAUAUAGUUUUAAUAUUGUUAUAUGGAUAUAAUAUAGAUAAGACUCGAAAUAAAUUAAUUUAUAUUGGGGCCAUUGGCGGUAUUUUAUUUCAUUGAAAAUUGAUACAGAAGCUACGCUUAACAUAAGCUUAUUGAAUAUUUCAUUAAAACGUACAUUUGAUUUCGUUUUUAAUUUAUCAAAAGUGUUAUAAAAAUGUAUAAAUACAAAAGA
rnacentral:misc_RNA from 1 species